UUUAAGCCCCCAAAAUGGUAUCUUCUUCAACUAUGAUGCAAUUUAUGACGUAGGUGAAAAUACUAUUUUAUAGAAUUUUGCAAGAUUCUUACUUGGAAUUUUCAAUGUGCAAGGAAAUUUGUAGUCAUAAAAUAAUAUGUUGAAAUUGGGCCUGAGAUUACUAAAAAAAUAUACAUUAUCCGCCAGGGGUGUUACUGUCGCUUGGCUUAAUAUCAGGCUGGAUUGCUAAAUGCAAUUUUUUAAGAUUACGUCAACUGUUGUCUGACGUCAGGAUAUUUUCAAGCUAUUUUAAUAAUAUUUCAUCUUUACAAAUUGCAAUAUUGCAGUAUUUGGAAAUAAGCAAGGGAAGACUCUCGCAACCAUUCAAAGCAAGUCUACAAAGUAGGAUUCAUUUUCACUUCACAGAGGAAAUUUGACUACACUGUAAAUUGUUAAAGUAUAAGUUCAUCCAAGUAAUGGGAAAACUUUGUUUCACGCCUAGAUGCAUUAGUGGCUACAGGCUGACUAAGUAUAAGAAGAAGAAUCCUCCUCCCACCAAAAGACGUUUCCAUAUUUUUCCAAAGGAUAAGAAAUGACGAAGUCUAUUGACAAAAGCUCUCUCUUUUAACAAUUAGCCAUUAGGAGCCUUCAAAAUAUUCUGCUAUAUGUGACUCGUAUCUUUUAUCUUUCGACUAUAAAAUUCAAUCUGAGGAUUGGAACAACUAUCCAAGUAAGGAUAUAUCUAUAAAAAUAUUAAACAAGGAUGAUACAUCAACACAGUUUUCAAACAUGCCCUCCUAUAUUUCCAAGCCAGCCAAAAUAGUGAGGAGCAAAGCAUCUCUCUCUUCCACUCGGAUCUUAAAAGAAAAUAUUAUGAAUAAAAUUCAUGCAUUCAAAAUGUCCGAUACUAUUUCUUCGACAUACAUUAAUGGACAUGUAUAUUUAAUUUUUUUAGGUACAAGAACAAGGAACUUUCAUUUCAACUCCUGAAAAACAUCAUUCACAAUAAUUAAAUUAAUGAGUGUGAUAUUUUAUUGAAUAUACUGGACUAUUUUAAUUCCUUGUUUACUUCCGAUUUUGUCUCUGAAAAUUCAAAUUUAAGAUGAAAUAGAAUCAGUUAUUAAGCAUCUCCAAAACCUCAAUCCUCAUUUCAUAAUUAUCCCUCCUUCUAAAAAAUUCUUAACAGAGGAGGUAUACCAUAUGGAUGUAUGCUUUGUCUAUGUUAUGGAAAAGUUUUUCUUGGGCUUUAUACAGAGAGCUCCGCAAAGAAGCUCCGAGUUUGUUUCAUUAGUCAACGAUUACUACACUUAGACAUUAUGGAGAAAGAAAUGGUAAAAAAAGAUUGGCUUGUCACGGAGGACUUAUUGGAAGUUACCAAGAGUAAUGAAUGGAAAAAAAACCAAUUACCAUGGACUGAUCUCAGCUUCACCUUUUAAAAGAUUUAUCAUGUUGGCCUUAUGAAUGGGAAAGAAUCAGAGGCAAAGUAACAAGUAUCGCCCAUGAUACGUUUUUAGCAGCUAAACAAACAUCAAGUAGACUAUAUAUAUUGUCUCAAAAAUUAUUGGAUGAGGUCGAUAUCAACCAUUUUUGAUGGACUAACCCUUACUAACUUGCUGUCAUGUUUUUCAAAUUUCAAAAUAACCACACUCAAAUAAAAUAUUUUUUAACAUGAUCCUUAUGCUUCAGGCAUUGCCGAAGUAGAAUUUGAGGAGAAUCAUACUUUUAACCAAUAUUUUCUAAGUAUAGCAUGUAAAAUUUUCAACUAUAUAGCAAAAAUACUUCUCUAGGUAAAUUAUAAAAUUCAUGAGAAAAAGAAAAGAAUUGGAUAUCAAUAUAAUAAAUCAAAAAACUUUAAAAAAAAACUUAACGAGUAAGCAGGAAGCCUUUAUUAUCAGAAUAUCUUCAAUACUUCAAAUAUUAUGUAUUGGUUGUUAAUGUUUAAACGCAAUAAAAAAUAAUUUGUUCUAAUAAAAAA
rnacentral:lncRNA from 1 species